UUAUCACGUGAUUUGCAAAAUAAUUAAAUUAAAAAAAAAAAUGUAUAUGCAUAAAAAUUAAUUACGCUUAAAUUAUUUAAACUUUAAAUCGACCAAAUAAUGACAAUUACGGAUAUUCUGUUCCGUAAUAAAGCGAUUUCGUGUCUUAACCAAUCAAAUGACGACAGACGAAUUUUUUCUUAGACGGAGCGCGUGCGGCGGACAUUUUGUUAAAGUUCAAGAAUCGGAAGAAACUCUGGAAGAACGAAGUAUUAUCGAAACAGGUCACUGACUUUAAUCAAUAUGAAAGAAUCUAAACUGGAAGUGGGAUAAAACAAAACUGCGCAUGAUCGGUGGAUGUUGGUGAAAAGUAUUGUCGCAUCUCGUUCCUCCUUCAGUCUUCCACUAGAAGAUCAUGAAGAGAAUGACUUGUUUAAUCAUCACAUGCUGCUCAUAUUUUCAGUAUCGGAGCAAAACUAUACGAGAUGACUUUGCUAAUUAAGCUGUUCAUCCGAAAGUGUAUUUUAAAUGAAGGUGAUAUAUAUAAGAGAGUAAGUAUAAUUAUUUAAUAUUUUUUCUUUUAGUUUAAAAUAAAAGUACGAAUAUGAAAAAUAUAUAGGCCCUAUAUAUAUAAACAUUUUAACCUAAUUACAUAGAACUUUGACCCUCUGCAUUUUGAAUUUAGAGGUCCAAAAUAUUUAGGUAAACGAAAAUAGAUCGCUAGUGCUCCCUUUCCCUUUUAGUCUGCAAGUGUUUAGCGCUUGUGUGUUUACGAGAAUUCCAAAUUUUAGAAAUAUCGAAAUGACAAAUGAUUAUAUAAAUGACAUUUAAUAUUUUUAAG